CGACCACCGCGACGACGACGACGACGACGACGACGACAGCAACGGCUACGACGACGACGACGACGACACGAAGGCGGCUGGGUUACGAUAUAAAGAGAGGCCGAGGGAGGGUGAGAAAGUGCGGGUUAAAACCCUUUAGUCUGGACCGCAAGCGGGACCGGUGAACGGACCGCGUGCUUGUCGCAGUGCUCUGUUUCCCAACGUUUUAACGCGAAAGACGAGAAAUAAAUUCGCUGCUGUGCAACCAGAGCCAGAAGCGAGAGGACCGUCCGUGCACUCCCGAAGAUUCCCGCGACGCUACGUAAUUUGCAUUGCAAAACGCGAACCUUCCCGAUUAUCGACCUAGUUAAUUCACUGCGACGUAACGAAUAUUACAAGAAGUAGCGAAUUAGCGCGAUCACAUUUCUUAAUUCUUAUCUCGAAGAAAAAGGAAAUCUCGUAGAGGGAGGAAACUACGAGUUGCGUCAUAAAAUCGAAUUAGUAGACGUUCGAUGAGGCAACGUGCGUGUCGAUCGGUACUCGUGAAAUCUUCGCGAUGCGAAACGACGGUGAGAAAAACAGGGGAGAAAGACGCGAAAAGAAAACUGGCGGAGGCGGCGGAGAGAAGAGGAGAGGAGAGAAGAGGAGAGGAGAGGAGAGGAGCGAAAUCCUCCUCCGCGAGCGAAAGAGGCGUCCUCCCUCCACCGCCACCUCAGCCGGCAAUGACAGAUACAAAUAAACGAUCCGGCGAUUUCGCGCAAGCGCCCCCCGCGACUACGACGGCCACCCUCUCCACGACCUCGCGCCCGUUCGCGGCGGAGAGAUCGAGGUAGGUAGGAAUAGGUGGCUUCGCGGUGGCAGCCUGGGGCCCACACCACCACCUUGGGUGGAGCCUGCCGGUUGACGUCAUCAGACGUACAGACAAACGGCACAGACGUAGAAACCAAUGCGCGCCACGGUGGUGGCCCAGGUGGCUGCUUUACGUCUGCGUACAAAUAACACGGCCGCCGUCGUACGCCCCCGCCUGGAGAACCGCCCCUCUCCGUUUCUCUCUCUCUUUCGCGGGGGAGACACAGGUUCUCCGGUCCCGCCUGACUGCAGGCGACUGCCAUUGCUCGUUGCCUCGAGAGUCUAGAACUACGGGUAGUUCUUACGCUCCCUCUGUCCUUACGCCUCCCCUUCCUCCCGCCUCCUCGCGGAGAACUCGCGACCCUCCGCCAGAAAUCGUCGAAUCCCCCAAGAUGGCGACUCGCAAGUAGAGGUGGUGGCUUUUGUCGCGAGUUACCCCGAUCAUUGGACGAUAGCCUGGCAGCUGCAGACAAUUCCGGGUAGUUUGAAGAAACUUUCUCAUACAAGUUUUACCACACCGUAUUUUAUCAAUACUAAAUCAAGAUAGCAUAGUUUGAGAUUCUUUUCGCGGUACCAUCUGAAUUUCUCAGUCUAAGAGUCGUAAAGUUUGAAAGGAGCUAAGUUAAUUGAAGAAAACGAUGGACAAGUCGGGAGAGAGACAGAGAGACUGAUUAAAUCCUCUCCUCGAGAUUGCGGCCGGCAAAGAGCCCAGUUUUAACGCGGUAGCGAACGCAAAAGUGAAUUCUUAACUCGUUAUCCCCGACCUCUCUAACUCCGGUGGUUGCGAGAGCCUGGUAACGCCGAUAGUAGCGCGCGUACGGACGUACGGUAGAAUAAUGUGGUCGUUGGGAAGUUGUAUCGGGACCUAGUGUCACGACCGCAGCAGCAGCAGUAGCAGCACCAGUAGUAGUAGUAGUAGUAGCAGUAGCAGCAGCAGCAGCAGCAGCAGCAGUAGCAGCAGGGUGGACCUCUGCGGGAAAAGCGGGAGGAGGGUAGAGGGGAGGAAAGGGGGAUGGGUCGGUUACGACCGGCUUCACCUCGUCUUCGGUGCCAACGAGAGAAGAGGAGGCGCUAACGAUGCCAGUGGGAAAGAUGCGAGAUAACUACUCGGCAGACGAAGCGUUAUUCCGUCUCCGAGCGAUUGCGAGCGUAACUGAACAUACUGCACACGGAAAAAUAUUAUUCUAGUGACAAGGAAAACGAUUACUCAACUUUAAUUUUCUUCUAAAGGCUUACUUUACGGUCCUAGCAUCGCCGAUUAAUAGUGAGUACGAAAUUUUCCGAGUUUUAUAGUAGUUUUUAAAAACCGUGUUUUACUCGAAAUAAACUUUUCAAAAUUUUUUACAAAGAUUGCUAAAAAAUUACUUAAUGAUUUUUAGUGACUCAAAGCUUAUUUUACUUGUCUCAAUGUUAAUUAUUACAGGGAUUAGGGAUUUUAGAAUAUUUUUAAAAUUAUUUCAUCUAUAAAACUGCGUGAAAAAUGUUUAAAAACCAAUUAUUUUCAUAACUUUGUGAAAAAUAAAUAUAAAAAAUUGUUUCUAGUCCCUGUAAUAAUGGCAAGGUUGCUGAUUAAUAAAAUAUUUGAUUUGUCUGUUUCAGAUAAGUGGCAAGAUUGGAAUCUUGGUAAAAAUUUGCAGCAGCGCGCCGAGCAUGAACUGAUUCACGUCAGCUUUACUAUUUCAUUUUAUAUUUUCUAACGAAAUUUGUUGUGUUUUAAGAAUAAACAUUGACAAUGAUAUCCAAAAAGUUCUACCUUAUUUAAUUUCAUUUUUACUAUUAGAAAAACUUAUUAAUAUACCUUUAAUUUUUCGGUCAAUAAGCAAAAAUACCUCCCUAAUUUGGCUGUUUAAUUUUCACAAUUAACCGUUAUUAUUUUGAAUUAAAUGAGCCUCUAACAAUUCUAGGACAAUAUUUGUAAGACGAUACUUCAUUAUAGUUGUAUUAUAGCCGCUGGCGACAGCAUUGCCAAGGAGGGGAAAACCAGCGGUGUGCGAGUAACACAAAUCGUAAAAAAAAAAAACGUUGGUCGUUGCAACUCUAAUUAGAAGACUCUACCAUGCCUGCCGGACGAAUUAAGCCUAAUCGCUCGCGAGACAGGGAGAUAGGCAAAGCACGUUUUUCGCGAAGGAAGGACAGGGAGAGGGGUCGCAGAUAAAGACGCCAAAACGCGAAGGAGCGCGCGGACGGAGGGAGAACGGGGCGAGGGGUGAGGGAGAGGCACGACCCUUCGGGUUCGAAAAAAAGUUGGAGAGCACGAAAUUAGUCGUACUCGCGGCGAAGGAGAGCGUUAGACGUGCCUCGGGGUUUCGACCCCCGCCCGCUCUCGCGCGCAGUCCCGUUUUAUUCGAUAAUUAUGCAAAUGCCGGAAUGAUUGUCGGGCAAUAUGUCCUCGGAAUAAAAGUACCGGGCCGGAGCAAUUCGGUUAUCUUUAUGAUUUUCGGGUCGGUCGUCGUCGUAAGGGGCGGCGAAGGAGAGAGAAACACGGCGGAACACCAGGAACCCAAGGGUGGAAACGGAGGGGGAGGAGGAGAGGGAAGGGCUCGUCAAUCCUCGGCGACAAGAGUCAAGCCCUUCAUUUGCAUCGAAACAUGGCCCUCUGGCUUCGCUUCCUUACGCGCGAAUACGACGACGCAUUGUGAUCAACGUUGUUAUUUCAGCGGCAGUGAAAUAUGUACUUGAAUUAAUGACGCGUUCCCCGUACGCCGUUGCGUAUCUCUUCGAUCGACAUAUAGCAUUACAUAUAGAAAAGAAUAAAAAAGACAUGGAAGAUAUAUGUAUAAGAAACUUAGGAAGAUUCCACGUUACAAUUUCCAGAUCGGCCGGCUGCUUUCACGAAUGAAAAACGAAACGUAAAACUGGCGCACGGGCAAAUCAUAUCUGCGAAUUAUUUCACAUUCGGACUAAUUGAUCAAUCAAAGUGUUAAUUACUGUGCCUAAUUGGGUAUUCCCUACAAUUAACCGCGGGUUAGUUUUAGUUCCGACACGAUUCGCCUCGAUUCUACUGGUGCUGUACCAGCCGCUCAGCAUCGACAAUGAAAUGAAAACGUCUAAUUAACGCGCGGGGAAUGGGCAAUUAAGACAUCGACGUUAGCGAUCUCUCGUUGUAUGACUGAUUCAAUUAAGAGGCCUUCUGCGUCUGGUAUACCUCAGCGAAACGUGGCUCGUGUGUGGUGUGUAUUAUCGUUAUAUUUACUAUUAAAAUAUAUUCCUCGCGCCGAAAGGGUGGAGCCUGUCUCGACCAAUGGGCUCUCGUCGCGUGCCUCGGGUCGUUACGGAACCUGCAAAUUGAUAAGAAUACAUCGCCAUACCCUUCGGCCCUUCGUUAGCCCUCUCUCGCUUCUCCGUCCAACCGAAGAUGUCGGACGCGGAAUACAUUUUUAUUCGCACUUGAAGCGAUCGCCUUAUCGCGCCGUUCCUGUCGUCGUCUUUAAGGGCUGUGCAAUUUGUCUAUUCCCUAUAGAAAAGAUCUGACAUGCGUACUAAGCAGGGAACACGUGUACGCUUUUACGCGCUUCGACGAGCUGAAAAAUAAUGAGAGGAAUAAGAAAUUGAUUAAUCUGUUAACCAUGGGAAAUUCUCUUCUCAGGUGUAAAGAGUUUAGACGAGAACGGAACAACCUGUAAUUUUUGGGACUUGUAUUUUUUUUGAAAAACAGAUUUACACGCGGCGAGUGUAACGUGGGAAAAUAAAAUGUACAUUGAAUGAGAGGUAAAGGUUUCCUUCCUAAAAGACGUCAGAAGAGGGGGAGGUGAAUUGCGUGAUGAUCGAAUGAAAGAAAUCCUCCGGCUUACAAUAACAACUAUUUAUUUAUAGGUAAUAAUGCUGAAUUACAAUGAAUACACUUCUUGCCUCGAUACUAGAUUGUAUAAGUCCAGUCGCGAAAUCGGCGUCACUAGUCACCGUCGCCGUGACUCGCAAUGUGGCGACGACAAAGUUCCCCCCCUCUUACUCCUCAUUCCCAACUCCGCCCCGCAAACGUUUCGCACGUUUCUCUCUUUUUCGCAUAUCACCUUCAUCUUCGCCAACACGGUAUCGUUUUCCCCGAUCGUAGAACCGCACAUUCAAUUCAUUUUGUUGCACCGGAAAUCUCCCAAAUCGAUUUGAAACACAUUCGCUAUUUUCAGAUUUCAUCUACAGUAAAUUGUUUGUGCGUGAUCGUAUCGAGAACUAUCGAUGUUGCUUGCCUCGCGUGAAAAAGCGAUUCAACUGUCAAUAUCUGUCUUCGCGAUUUAAUUUGUACUAUUUGGCGUCGGCCAAAGUCAUCCCUCGGGAUCGUCGGCACUAUCGAUGUCAUCCGUACGGUUCUCGAUCGUGAAAAACGUUACCUGAACACUUUCGCGUCCAACCCUCUUCCAUCCUUUAUCCCUCCCUCCUUUCCGUCAAUCGGUAGCGGCGAUGGCAAAUACGGAUCAGCUAUCGGUGGUUAAAUUUUCGUUUCUCUACGUUUAGCAUCGUCUUAACGGGCUUUAGCUGGUACGAUACUAGACACUAUGAUUAUGUGAACUUUACAACACAAGAACCUUACGGCAAAAGACUUUGUACAUGGAUCUUAAAUACGGGGACCGGUCCCCGGGGAAAUAUCCCUGGCGCUUUCCUCGCACUGUACCAGACUCUGCAAAGGACGCGUGCGCGCGUCCUCGGAAGUGUCCCUUUUCCUCUUUUCUUUUCCUCGCCUACGUCCGCACCUUUCGCACGCGCCAAGAGAUAUUUCGCCGGAUGUUCUCGGCCGGUCAACGCAAACGCGGGACACACGCAAUAUGGAUUAGACUUACUUGCUUCGGUAGUAACUAAGUUAUUUAUAUAAAUAAGGUGUUACUAUUUAAGACGCUAGGAGAGAAUCCCCCGUUGUUUCCGUUUUUAUCAUACAUGCACCCUCUCACACGCACACACAUACAUAUACACACGCGCGCGCGCACAUACUCGCAAAAUUCUUUCUCACUUUCUCUUUUUCUCUCUUUCUCUCUUUCUCUCUGUCUCUCUUUCUCUCUCCUCCCUUUUUCUUUCUCUCGAGAUUUUUCUCUACGUCUAUCAUUCGCACUGUCUUUCAUUCAUACGCUCAUUUUCUCGCCUCGUCAUUCUUACUCUUACUUCCCCCCCCCCUCUCUCUCUCUCUCUCUCUCUCGUUUUUCUAUGAUACAGCGCUCGAGUCGCUCUAAUUCCGUUCCGCGUCGAAUCCAGAAGGGACUCGCUCGUCAAUUUCCGCGCUCCUAUGCGCAUCUUACAAAAAGCCGGUGCGCGUUUUUCGGCGCUGCGACGACGUGUCCGGAGAGACGGCGUUCUCGAAAAAAAAAAAA